UACGAAACCCUAUCAGAGCUGCAGCCACUUUCAAGUUCCAGAACGCGUACUGGCCCCCGCCACUCUCGCCACUGACAGUGACAACCCUCUCGAAGGUCUGAUCGGCCCUCUCAAAUGUCAAGCCAGUUGUCGGCGGCCCUGAGUUGCUGAUUUUUCUGUUUUGUUAAGUUUGGUUCGCUUAUGGCUCUCACUUGCGUGCCUCAACUCAGUCGUGGACUUCUCUCAUUGCCGUCGCUCAUGCAUGCUUGCUUCUCGUCGACAUUUUUCUGCUUCGUCUCUGUUCUCUCUCUCUCUUUCUCGUAGCUUAGUCACUGUCACCGUUGAGAAGAGAGAGAAUGAAUUCAGUUGCUUUUUGUUUGGUUCAGAUGGGAAUGAAUUGUUAUGGAUAGUGCUCAACAACUAUUUUCUUGAGCCAUGAGUGAUUGUAAUGAAUGCUUAUGGGCUUGAACUACUAUCGGGCCUGAUUAGUUUGCUACUGGCUGAGGCCCAGCACAGUUGGCAUACCUGUCUGCCUCAUACAACGCUUUUCAAAUCUCAGCUGAGGCUGGUUGUUGGUUUAAGAAUCCGUGUGUGAGUGUGUGUGUGUGAAACAUGGGUGUAAUGCCUAGGAUUGGGG